GACGAACGCUGGCGGCGUGCCUAACACAUGCAAGUCGAGCGGAGACGGCAGCAAUGUUGUCUCAGCGGCGGACGGGUGAGUAACACGUGGGCAACCUACCUUCUUCCGGGGGAUAACAUUGGGAAACCGGUGCUAAUACCGCAUGAAGUCGCGACUCCGCAUGGAGAUGCGACCAAAGGAGCGAUCCGGAGGGAGAGGGGCCCGCGUCCGAUUAGAUAGUUGGUGAGGUAACGGCCCACCAAGUCGACGAUCGGUAGCCGGACUGAGAGGUCGAACGGCCACAUUGGGACUGAGAUACGGCCCAGACUCCUACGGGGGGCAGCAGUGGGGAAUAUUGCACAAUGGGGGAAACCCUGAUGCAGCAACGCCGCGUGAAGGAUGAAGGUUUUCGGAUUGUAAACUUCUUUGACCGGGGACGAACAAGAUGACGGUACCCGGAAAACAAGCCACGGCUAACUACGUGCCAGCCGCCGCCGUAAAAC
rnacentral:rRNA from 1 species